rnacentral:rRNA from 1 species
AUACGGAGGAUCCGAGCGUUACCCGGAUUUAUUGGGUUUAAAGGGUGCGCAGGCGGCCAUUUAAGUCAGCGGUUAAAUCGUGGGGCUCAACCCCAUUCUGCCGUUGAUACUGGGUGGCUUGAUUGCGGUCGAGGUUGGCGGAAUUCGUUGUGUAGCGGUGAAAUGCAUAGAUAUGACGAAGAACACCGAUUGCGUAGGCAGCUGACCAGAUCGCAAAUGACGCUCAUGCACGAAAGUGCGGGGAUCGAACAGGAUUAGAUACCCUGGUAGUCCGCACAGUAAACGAUGAAUACUUGUUUUCGGCGAUAUAAUGUCGGAGGCAAAGCGAAAGCGAUAAGUAUUCCACCUGGGGAGUACGCCGGCAACGGUGAAACUCAAAUGAAUUGACGGGG